GUACGUAGGGAGCGAGCGUUGUCCGGAUUUACUGGGUGUAAAGGGUGCGUAGGCGGCUCUGCAAGUCAGGUGUGAAACCCAUCGGCUUAACUGAUGGACUGCAUUUGAAACUGUGGGGCUUGAGUGGAGUAGAGGCAGACGGAGUUCCCGGUGUAGCGGUGAAAUGCGUAGAGAUCGGGAAGAACACCAGUGGCGAAGGCGGUCUGCUGGGCUCUAACUGACGCUGAGGCACGAAAGCAUGGGUAGCAAACAGGAUUAGGUACCCUGGUAGUCCAUGCCGUAAACGAUGAUUACUAGGUGUGGGGAGUCUGACCCUCUCCGUGCCGGAGUUAACACAAUAAGUAAUCCACCUGGGAAGUACGACCGCAAGGUUAAA
rnacentral:rRNA from 1 species